CCGGAGUUUACUGGCAUGCUUACUGGAAAACAUGCCCGCUGGAUAAAUGACCAAUUUUGACUGCCAACACAACAACUGAAAGCAAAACAAGCAUUUUGGAAGUUCUGAUAAACAUGAUCAUUUCUUCUCAGACCAAGCACGACCGCAAUGUGGCUGAUAACAGGGUAAAGCGCUGGGCCCAGUUGCUGGAAUGCCAAACAAAGACCUGAGCCCUAGGACCAUGCCCCAGGAUUACCUGACAUGAUGACUCCUUGCUGUCCCCAGUCCACCUGGCCGUGCUGCUUCUCCAGUUUCAACUGUUCUGCCUUCUUAUUAUUCAAACAUGCUGAUCAUUUAUGAACAUUUGAACAUCUUGGCCAUGUUCUGUUAUAAUCUCC
ensembl:lncRNA